rnacentral:rRNA from 2 species
AGAGUUUGAUCAUGGCUCAGAAUCAACGCUGGCGACGUGCCUAACACAUGCAAGUCGAACGCGAAAGGGGAGCAAUCCCUGAGUAGAGUGGCAAACGGGUGAGUAACACGUGGGUGACCUGCCUUCGAGUGGGGGAUAACGUCCCGAAAGGGACGCUAAUACCGCAUGACAUCCUGCCUUUGGACAGGCGGAGAUCAAAGCCGGGGAUCGCAAGACCCGGCGCUUGAAGAGGGGCCCGCGCCUGAUUAGCUAGUUGGUGGGGUAACGGCUCACCAAGGCUACGAUCAGUAUCCGGCCUGAGAGGAUGAUCAGCCACAUUGGGACUGAGACACGGCCCAAACUCCUACGGGAGGCAGCAGUGGGGAAUAUUGGACAAUGGGCGCAAGCCUGAUCCAGCCAUGCCGCGUGAGUGAUGAAGGCCCUAGGGUUGUAAAGCUCUUUCGCCGGUGAAGAUAAUGACGGUAACCGGAGAAGAAGCCCCGGCUAACUUCGUGCCAGCAGCCGCGGUAAUACGAAGGGGGCUAGCGUUGCUCGGAAUCACUGGGCGUAAAGCGCACGUAGGCGGAUUUCUAAGUCAGGGGUGAAAUCCUGGAGCUCAACUCCAGAACUGCCUUUGAUACUGGGAAUCUCGAGUCCGGAAGAGGUGAGUGGAACUGCGAGUGUAGAGGUGAAAUUCGUAGAUAUUCGCAAGAACACCAGUGGCGAAGGCGGCUCACUGGUCCGGUACUGACGCUGAGGUGCGAAAGCGUGGGGAGCAAACAGGAUUAGAUACCCCCGUAGUCC